UACGUAGGGGGCGAGCGUUGUCCGGAAUUAUUGGGCGUAAAGGGCGCGUAGGCGGUGACACAAGUCAGGUGAUAAAGGCACGGGCUCAACCGGUGUUAGGCACUUGAAACUGUGUUGCUAGAGUGCAGGAGAGGGGAGUGGAAUUCCAGGUGUAGCGGUGAAAUGCGUAGAUAUCUGGAAGAACACCAGUGGCGAAGGCGGCUCUCUGGACUGUAACUGACGCUGAGGCGCGAAAGCUGGGGGAGCAAAC
rnacentral:rRNA from 1 species